CCUUAGAGGACCUAGGGUAACUUAGCUUAGGCUAGAGUAGCUGAGGGACCUUAGAGGACCUAGCAUAGCGUAGCUUAGGCUAGAGUAGCUGAGGGACCUUAGAGGACCUAGCUUAGCUUAGCUUAGGCUAGAGUAGCUGAGGGAUCUUAGAGGACCUAGCGUAGCUUAGCUUAGGCUAGAGUAGCUGAGGGACCUUAGAGGACCUAGCUUAGCUUAGGCUAGAGUAGCUGAGGGACCUUAGAGGACCUAGCGUAGCGUAGCUUAGGCUUGAGUAGGUGAGGGACCUCAGAGGACC